GGAAAAGAAACCAACAGGGAUUGCCUCAGUAACGGCGAGUGAAGCGGCAAAAGCUCAAAUUUUAAAGCUGGCAUCUUCGGUGUCCGCGUUGUAAUUUUGUGAGGCAUCUCCGGGUAGGGCGCCGGCCUAAGUUCCUUGGAACAGGACGUCACAGAGGGUGAGAAUCCCGUGCUUGGCUGGCUGUCCCCGUCCAUGUGAGGUGUCUUCGACGAGUCGAGUUGUUUGGGAAUGCAGCUCAAAAUGGGUGGUAAAUUUCAUCUAAAGCUAAAUAUUGGUGGGAGACCGAUAGCGCACAAGUAGAGUGAUCGAAAGAUGAAAAGCACUUUGAAAAUAGAGUUAAAAAGUACGUGAAAUUGUUGAAAGGGAAGCGCUUGAGAUCAGACUUCGGUAGGGGGUGAUCAGCCGUCCUUCUGGGCGGUGCACUUGCCCCUCUCCGGGCCAGCAUCGGUUGAGGCGGCGGGAUAAAGGUCCCGGGAAUGUGGCUCCUUCGCGGGAGUGUUAUAGCCCGGGUGAAUGCCGCCAGUCUCGACCGAGGACCGCACCCGCAAGGGUUAGGAUGCUUGGCAUAAUGGUCUUCAGCGACCCGU
rnacentral:rRNA from 1 species